CUGACUGCCUCGACUUCUCAAAUACCACUGAGAGUGGCUCGGUGACUGCAGCGGUGAAUUCCCUCAGGGCUCUGGGACUCGUCUCAUCAGGACCCAAAGACUCCUGGAUGUCAGGUUCUCAGGUGGCUGCGGAGUUGCAGCGCUCCCGAGUGCCGUAACGACUGCAUGGAGAUGCGUGGCUCUUCAUGGGAACAGCAAGGAACCGGAAUCUGCAUUUCCUGGAAUGCCCCAGAGCCUCGCUUUGCUGGCUGGUAAUUGUCUGCCCAGCAGGUGGCAGCAGAGCUGCGUUGCUCCUGAGCACUUUAAGGACAGCACGGAGAUGCGCGGCUCUUCAUGGCAGCAGCAGAAACUGGAAUCUGCAUUUCCUGGAAUGCCCCGGAACCUCGCUUUGCUGGCUGGUAAUUGUCUGCCCAGCAGGUGAAGAUGCCUUCGAUGCUUCCAGUUGAUGGCUUCCCCCCUGCCAUGCCAUCGUCUUUCCAGUCCUCCCGCACUCACCGCCUGCUCGGUUCAGUCCAGCCGUUACCUGAAUCCCUGCUCCGUUCCCUUUCCUGAGUGCUGUAAGGACAGCAUGGAGAUGUGCAGCUCUUGAUGACAGCAGCAGGAACCGGAAUCUGCAUUUCCUGGAACGCCCUGGAACCCCACUUUGCUGCCUGGUAAUUGUCUGCCCAGCAGGUGAAGAUGCCUUCGAUGCUUCCAGUCGAUGACUUCCCCCCUGCGAUGCCAUUGGCUUUCCUGGCCUCCCACAGUCACCACCAGCUCAGUUCAGUUGAGCUGUUACCCGAAUCCCCACUCCGUUCCCUUUCCAUGAUUUCCAUGAUCUUCCUGUCACUCUGCCACAAGCCCCCACCAAGGUCAUCGCAGGCAACGUGUGGGAUGCGGCACUCGGUCUCAUUACAGUUCAUCCCAUCAGCUUCAGCCCAGCGAUCCAAGCCACCCGCACCCUUCCUGAGGGCCCUUCUGCUCCCAGGCCAAUCAACGCUUCCUUCUGAUGCCAUCUGCAUUCCUUCCUGGCCACUUUCAGACUCGUGCCCCUUUGUGGCCAUUUUGAGAGUUGCGCUGAUUUCAGCGUCUGCAUUCAAUUGACUUCAACCAAAUUGGCUUUAGCUUUACAUUCAAUUAAUGUAAACCAAAUUGGCUUUAGUAUUACAUUCACUUAAUGUAAACCAAAUUGGCUUUAGUUUUACAUGCAAUUAAAUGUAAACCAAAUUGGCUUUAAGUUUGCCUUGCUUACGGGGUUGGGUUAGCUUUGCUUUGUUUGUUCUAGCGCAGGGCUAACCCAACCCCGUAACCAAGGGCCGGCGGAGGCGAUUUUGUUCCUUCCCGGCCAGUCUGAGACUUGCGCCCCCUUGUGGCCAUUUGAUGAUCUGUGCUGAUUUCAGCGUCUGCAUUCAAUUAAUCUCAACCAAAUUGGCUUUAGCCUUGCAGUCAUUUUGCAUCAACCAAAUUGGCUUUGGCUUUGCAUUCAACUUAUUUCAACCAAAUUGGCUUUAGUUUUACAUUCACUUGACUUCAAUCAAAUUGGCUUUAGCUUUACACUCAAUUAUUGUAAACCAAAUUGGCUUUAGUUUUACAUCCAAAUUAUGUAAACCAAAUUGGCUUUAAGUUUGCCUUGCUUACGGG